GAAAAGGCGAGCCGCGGCCGCCGAACUCCAGCUCUGGCGCGCUCAGGGGCGUGGCGCGGGCGGGUCGUGAGUGGGGCGGGGCCCAGAGAGCGUGUGCGAUGGAGCGGCGCGUCGCGCGGCGCGAAGGGGCGUGGCGCCAGUGGGCGUGGCGUAGUGCGAAGAGACGCGGUGCGCACGCGCGUGAGGGAUGUCGCGGAUGCAAAUAGUACGGUAUUCCGAACAGACACUAAAAAUAGCUGUCAUCUCAAAGAAUCCAGUGCUUGUGUCACAGUAUGAGAAAGUAGAUGCUGGGGAACAGCGUUUAAUGAAUGAAGCAUUCCAGCCAGCCAGUGAUCUCUUUGGACCUUGCAUUCUCCAUCAGAUUGGAUCACCUCCCACCCUGAGGCCCCCCAAGACUUUGAACAGUUCUUCAGUCAUCCUUACAGAAAGAUACCCUCUCCAGACAAACGCAGUAUUUAUAUACGGUCCAUUGGUAAAUACUGGUAAUGUGCUAGUUUU
rnacentral:lncRNA from 1 species